GACGAACGCUGGCGGCGUGCUUAACACAUGCAAGUCGAACGGAAAGGCCCUGCUUUUGUGGGGUGCUCGAGUGGCGAACGGGUGAGUAACACGUGAGUAACCUGCCCUUGACUUUGGGAUAACUUCAGGAAACUGGGGCUAAUACCGGAUAGGAGCUCCUGCUGCAUGGUGGGGGUUGGAAAGUUUCGGCGGUUGGGGAUGGACUCGCGGCUUAUCAGCUUGUUGGUGGGGUAGUGGCUUACCAAGGCUUUGACGGGUAGCCGGCCUGAGAGGGUGACCGGCCACAUUGGGACUGAGAUACGGCCCAGACUCCUACGGGAGGAAGCAGUGGGGAAUAUUGCAGAAUGGGCGGAAGCCUGAUGCAGCAACGCCGCGUGCGGGAUGACGGCCUUCGGGUUGUAAACCGCUUUCGCCUGUGACGAAGCGUGAGUGACGGUAAUGGGUAAAGAAGCACCGGCUAACUACGUG
rnacentral:rRNA from 1 species